rnacentral:tRNA from 1 species
CUGACUGUGGCGCAGUUUGGUAGCGCGCUGCCUUCGGGAGGCAGAGGUCCUGGGUUCAAAUCCCAGCAGCCAGA